ensembl:snRNA U7 U7 small nuclear RNA
AAGUGUUGCAGCUUUUAGAAUGUGUCUAGCAGGCUUUCUGGUUGUCACCAGAAGGUCAUC